rnacentral:rRNA from 1 species
UACGGAAGGCAGCAGUGGGGAAUAUUGCACAAUGGGCGCAAGCCUGAUGCAGCCAUGCCGCGUGUAUGAAGAAGGCCUUCGGGUUGUAAAGUACUUUCAGCGGGGAGGAAGGCGGUGAAGUUAAUAGCUUCACCGAUUGACGUUACCCGCAGAAGAAGCACCGGCUAACUCCGUGCCAGCAGCCGCGGUAAUACGGAGGGUGCAAGCGUUAAUCGGAAUUACUGGGCGUAAAGCGCACGCAGGCGGUCUGUCAAGUCGGAUGUGAAAUCCCCGGGCUUAACCUGGGAACUGCAUUCGAAACUGGCAGGCUAGAGUCUUGUAGAGGGGGUAGAAUUCCAGGUGUAGCGGUGAAAUGCGUAGAGAUCUGGAGGAAUACCGGUGGCGAAGGCGGCCCCUGGGACAAAGCUGACGCUCAGGGUGCGAAAGCGUGGGGAGCGAAACAGGAUUAGGAUACC